UGCCAGCCGCCGCGGUAAUACGGAGGGCGCGAACGUUACUCGGAAUCACUGGGCAUGAAGGGCAUGUAGGCGGCCCGACCAGUCAGAUGUGAAAUCCUUCGGCUCAACCGAAGAACUGCAUUUGAUACUGUCGGGCUCGAGGAUGGUUGGGGUAAGCGGAACUCCUGGUGGAGCGGUGAAAUGCGUAGAUAUCAGGAGGAACACCAGUGGCGAAAGCGGCUUACUGGACCAUUUCUGACGCUGAGGUGCGAAAGCUAGGGUAGCGAACGGGAUUAGAUA
rnacentral:rRNA from 1 species